rnacentral:rRNA from 1 species
CGUACGCUUCUUUUUCCCCGGAGCUUGCUCCACCGGAAAAAGAAGAGUGGCGAACGGGUGAGUAACACGUGGGUAACCUGCCCAUCAGAAGGGGAUAACACUUGGAAACAGGUGCUAAUACCGUAUAACAAUCGAAACCGCAUGGUUUUGAUUUGAAAGGCGCUUUCGGGUGUCGCUGAUGGAUGGACCCGCGGUGCAUUAGCUAGUUGGUGAGGUAACGGCUCACCAAGGCCACGAUGCAUAGCCGACCUGAGAGGGUGAUCGGCCACAUUGGGACUGAGACACGGCCCAAACUCCUACGGGAGGCAGCAGUAGGGAAUCUUCGGCAAUGGACGAAAGUCUGACCGAGCAACGCCGCGUGAGUGAAGAAGGUUUUCGGAUCGUAAAACUCUGUUGUUAGAGAAGAACAAGGAUGAGAGUAACUGUUCAUCCCUUGACGGUAUCUAACCAGAAAGCCACGGCUAACUACGUGCCAGCAGCCGCGGUAAUACGUAGGUGGCAAGCGUUGUCCGGAUUUAUUGGGCGUAAAGCGAGCGCAGGCGGUUUCUUAAGUCUGAUGUGAAAGCCCCCGGCUCAACCGGGGAGGGUCAUUGGAAACUGGGAGACUUGAGUGCAGAAGAGGAGAGUGGAAUUCCAUGUGUAGCGGUGAAAUGCGUAGAUAUAUGGAGGAACACCAGUGGCGAAGGCGGCUCUCUGGUCUGUAACUGACGCUGAGGCUCGAAAGCGUGGGGAGCAAACAGGAUUAGAUACCCUGGUAGUCCACGCCGUAAACGAUGAGUGCUAAGUGUUGGAGGGUUUCCGCCCUUCAGUGCUGCAGCUAACGCAUUAAGCACUCCGCCUGGGGAGUACGACCGCAAGGUUGAAACUCAAAGGAAUUGACGGGGGCCCGCACAAGCGGUGGAGCAUGUGGUUUAAUUCGAAGCAACGCGAAGAACCUUACCAGGUCUUGACAUCCUUUGACCACUCUAGAGAUAGAGCUUCCCCUUCGGGGGCAAAGUGACAGGUGGUGCAUGGUUGUCGUCAGCUCGUGUCGUGAGAUGUUGGGUUAAGUCCCGCAACGAGCGCAACCCUUAUUGUUAGUUGCCAUCAUUUAGUUGGGCACUCUAGCAAGACUGCCGGUGACAAACCGGAGGAAGGUGGGGAUGACGUCAAAUCAUCAUGCCCCUUAUGACCUGGGCUACACACGUGCUACAAUGGGAAGUACAACGAGUCGCGAAGUCGCGAGGCUAAGCUAAUCUCUUAAAGCUUCUCUCAGUUCGGAUUGUAGGCUGCAACUCGCCUACAUGAAGCCGGAAUCGCUAGUAAUCGCGGAUCAGCACGCCGCGGUGAAUACGUUCCCGGGCCUUGUACACACCGCCCGUCACACCACGAGAGUUUGUAACACCCGAAGUCGGUGAGGUAACCU